UCGCCCGAUAGGGAUGGGGUUCCCCCGACAACCGCCGAAAAGGCUGAUGACUCCUGCCAGGGC
rnacentral:ncRNA from 2 species